rnacentral:rRNA from 1 species
UACGUAGGCAGCGAGCGUUGUUCGGAGUUACUGGGCGUAAAGAGUGCGUAGGCGGUGUUCCAAGUCUGUUGUGAAAUCCCCCGGCUCAACUGGGAGGGUGCGGCGGAAACUGGGACGCUGGAGUACGGGAGAGGUAAGCGGAAUUCCUGGUGUAGCGGUGAAAUGCGUAGAUAUCAGGAGGAACACCUGCGGUGUAGACGGCUUACUGGACCGUAACUGACGCUGAGGCACGAAAGCGUGGGUAGCAAACAGG